GAUGAACGCUGGCGGCGUGCCUAAUACAUGCAAGUCGAGCGAACGGACGAGAAGCUUGCUUCUCUGAUGUUAGCGGCGGACGGGUGAGUAACACGUGGAUAACCUACCUAUAAGACUGGGAUAACUUCGGGAAACCGGAGCUAAUACCGGAUAAUAUUUUGAACCGCAUGGUUCAAAAGUGAAAGACGGUCUUGCUGUCACUUAUAGAUGGAUCCGCGCUGCAUUAGCUAGUUGGUAAGGUAACGGCUUACCAAGGCAACGAUGCAUAGCCGACCUGAGAGGGUGAUCGGCCACACUGGAACUGAGACACGGUCCAGACUCCUACGGGAGGCAGCAGUAGGGAAUCUUCCGCAAUGGGCGAAAGCCUGACGGAGCAACGCCGCGUGAGUGAUGAAGGUCUUCGGAUCGUAAAACUCUGUUAUUAGGGAAGAACAUAUGUGUAAGUAACUGUGCACAUCUUGACGGUACCUAAUCAGAAAGCCACGGCUAACUACGUGCCAGCAGCCGCGGUAAUACGUAGGUGGCAAGCGUUAUCCGGAAUUAUUGGGCGUAAAGCGCGCGUAGGCGGUUUUUUAAGUCUGAUGUGAAAGCCCACGGCUCAACCGUGGAGGGUCAUUGGAAACUGGAAAACUUGAGUGCAGAAGAGGAAAGUGGAAUUCCAUGUGUAGCGGUGAAAUGCGCAGAGAUAUGGAGGAACACCAGUGGCGAAGGCGACUUUCUGGUCUGUAACUGACGCUGAUGUGCGAAAGCGUGGGGAUCAAACAGGAUUAGAUACCCUGGUAGUCCACGCCGUAAACGAUGAGUGCUAAGUGUUAGGGGGUUUCCGCCCCUUAGUGCUGCAGCUAACGCAUUAAGCACUCCGCCUGGGGAGUACGACCGCAAGGUUGAAACUCAAAGGAAUUGACGGGGACCCGCACAAGCGGUGGAGCAUGUGGUUUAAUUCGAAGCAACGCGAAGAACCUUACCAAAUCUUGACAUCCUUUGACAACUCUAGAGAUAGAGCCUUCCCCUUCGGGGGGCAAAGUGACAGGUGGUGCAUGGUUGUCGUCAGCUCGUGUCGUGAGAUGUUGGGUUAAGUCCCGCAACGAGCGCAACCCUUAAGCUUAGUUGCCAUCAUUAAGUUGGGCACUCUAAGUUGACUGCCGGUGACAAACCGGAGGAAGGUGGGGAUGACGUCAAAUCAUCAUGCCCCUUAUGAUUUGGGCUACACACGUGCUACAAUGGACAAUACAAAGGGCAGCGAAACCGCGAGGUCAAGCAAAUCCCAUAAAGUUGUUCUCAGUUCGGAUUGUAGUCUGCAACUCGACUACAUGAAGCUGGAAUCGCUAGUAAUCGUAGAUCAGCAUGUUACGGUGAAUACGUUCCCGGGUCU
rnacentral:rRNA from 1 species